rnacentral:hammerhead_ribozyme from 1 species
AUACAGCUGACGAGUCCUAAAUAGGACGAAACGCGUGUCCUGAAU